GAUCCUGCGCGUCACAAACAAAUGAGAUAGUCGAAGCCUGUGCAUGUCGUGAGGCCAAAUCUCACAAAAAUAACGUCUCCAGUCUCGGACUGUAUGUCUGCAAACCCGUACUAGCAUCGACGCUGGGAAUCGCUAGUAAUCGCAGAUCAGAAUGCUGCGGGUGAAUACGUCCCCCGGGUCUUGCUACACUACCGCCCGUCACACCAUGGGAGUCGGUAAUGCCCGAAGUCAGUGGCCUAACCGUAAAGAGUGUGGCCCAAUCUUAUAGGA
rnacentral:rRNA from 1 species